UUGGUUCAGGUAAAGGGGACACCAUGAUCAGAAAGGUGGCUUAGGCAGGGUGAAGUUAAUGUCUUGUAUUUCAAAUAUGCUGACCCUUGUAGUUUCACCAAAUGUGGAAAACCUAUCUACAUCAUUUGUGGUGAAAUGAUGUUCAGA
rnacentral:snRNA from 1 species